AGGAAAACCUGCCAGAUGGCUGAGGAGCUGACAAAUAAAGGAAAGUCCCAUGAUUUGGAAAAAGGGACAUCUAAAACUUACCCCUUGAGCAGAGCUACCUUUUGGAGACAGUAUCAGGUCCCUCCUUUCAUGGGGGCUCCACUGGUAGAGGGAUCUGCCUGACAAUAUUAACACCAUGGCUUUGCGGUGGAGACAGCCUAGUCCAGAGUCACAUCUAACCAAAUUAUUUCUUAGUGUUCUGGCCAUUCUCACUUUGGAGUACUCAGGACUCUGGAUCAAGGCUAAAUGGUGGUGGGAAAGGUGGCCUGCUCCAGAAGCAGUGGUGGGAGUCACUGCACCCGAGUACCUGCCUGUGCUGGCUGCUGCUCCACACGCUCCAGGGGUCCUUCAGAGAACUUGCAUUGAAGGUAAAACUGAAGGAGCUGCACACCAAUCCUCUGCCACUGCACUGUGCACCUCUGUAUGUCACAAGUACACCAGGAAGAGCCAUCUCUCCAGAUUUGGUUGAAGAAAACGACACCAUAAUGGAAUGGCUGACUGAAGUUCACAAAGCUGGAAAACAACUUUGGACCUGUUCUCAAACAUUCAUCAUUUCCCACUGGCAUUAGAGAAGAGUCUGAAGUUUCUUCAAAUUGAAGGAUAUUCAGAUCCAGGAUGGAAUGAUAGGAAAAGGCCAGCAAUACAUUGAAGUUGUAAAUUUGAAUAUAGCUGCAUUCAAAAGCACUUGGAUCCUACCUGUGUAUAAGAGCUCCUUUAUAAAUAAAUCUAAGAUAAAGCCUACUGAACUCUCA
rnacentral:lncRNA from 1 species